GGUGUCAAUAAUGGCCUCACAGCCACCAUCACAAGCAAUAACCUUCCCGUUCAUGGAGAUGCUGAGAGACAGGGGGAUAAAUUAGGUACAUCUGCCCUGCUAGAUGGCAAGCGCUGUAGGAGCAGUUUCUGUCCUUAACACCUCUCGACAUAUUUUUGUUGAAUGAAUGAAUGAACCAGUGGGGAAGCAGACUCAGAGUGGGACCAAAUUGUUUCUGCUUGAGGACACAAGGAACAGAGAGGAGGAUAGUCUCCUUUUGGGCAUGACUGUGGUCUGAUGACAGAAGUGGAGUGAAUCCAUUGCAAUUCAUGUGGAUUCUUCAUCUGCCCAAGAGGAGAAGCCUGUUGUACCACGUGCCGGCAGAGUGCUUAUGAAAAUUCGGCCUGGGAAAUACGCUGGUGUGUGUGUGUGUGUGUGUACAUGCACUUUAGGGGAGGCAGCUUAUAGCUUUUAUUAGAGUCUCAGAGGCCCUCAAGGGUCAGGAUCCAUUUUUUAAGCCCCCCACCUUCUGUGGUCCCUACUUCUUUGCCUGAGUGCCUGGAGCCCCCAUCUACACCCAGAGACCCCACAUCAGCUCUUCUUGUUCCCCCAAAACAUCCUCCAUCUGUGUGAGUCCUGCUUCACACCCCCGCUCUGCCACUUAGCAGGUGCAUGACCUUGGGACCCUGUCCCUCGGUUUGCCCAUCCACAUGAUGGCAGUGACAGUGCCUGCCUCGUCGGUUUGGUGCAGGAUCAAACAAGUUCUGGCAAUGAAAGCACCCAGCACCGUGCCUGCCACAGUCUGAGAAUAUAAAAGUGGGCCAUUGGGGCGUGUGGGUGGCUCAGUUAGUUGGGUGUCUGCCUUCAGCUCGGGUCCUGAUCCCAGGGUCCUGGGUUGGAGCCCCACCUUGGGCUCCCUGCUCAGCAAGGAGCCCUUCCUCUCCCUCUGCCUCCUGCUCUCCCUGCUUGUGCUCUUUCUCUCUGUGUCAAAUAAGUAA